rnacentral:rRNA from 1 species
GGGGUGAAAUGCCAAUCGAACCAGGAGCUAGCUGGUUCUCCCCGAAAUGUGUUUAGGCGCAGCGGUAAUGAUUAAAUCUGGGGGGUAAAGCACUGUUUCGGUGCGGGCUGGGAGACCGGUACCAAAUCGAGACAAACUCAGAAUACCCAGAGAACACAUUGCCAGUGAGACAGUGGGGGAUAAGCUUCAUUGUCAAGAGGGAAACAGCCCAGACCACCAGCUAAGGUCCCCAAAUCAUCACUAAGUGAUAAAGGAGGUGGGAUUGCAUAGACAACUAGGAGGUUUGCCUAGAAGCAGCCAACCUUAAAAGAGUGCGUAAUAGCUCACUAGUCAAGCGAUCCUGCGCCGAAAAUGAACGGGGCUAAGUGAUGUACCGAAGCUGUGGGAUUAAUCUAGUAUUAAUCGGUAGGGGAGCGUUCCGUAAUAGGUAGAAGCAGUAGCGGCGAGCAGCUGUGGACGAAACGGAAGUGAGAAUGUCGGCUUGAGUAGCGCAAACAUUGGUGAGAAUCCAAUGCCCCGAAACCCUAAGGGUUCCUCCGCCAGGUUCGUCCACGGAGGGUUAGUCGGGUCCUAAGGCGAGGUCGAAGGGCGUAGUCGAUGGACACAGGGUGAAUAAUCCCUGACUACUAUGUGGGAGCAUUGCGAGGGACGCAUGAAAGAUAGCCAUACCCUGAUUGGUUUGGGAGGAGUUUACGAACUCCGCGUGGUGAAGGAUAGUGUCAAGAAAAGCUCGUAAUGUGAUGAAAACAUAGUACCCGUACCCGAAACCGACACAGGUAGGGAGGUUGAGAAUACCAAGGGGCGCGAGAUAACUCUCUCUAAGGAACUCGGCAAAAUGGCCCCGUAACUUCGGGAGAAGGGGUGCCCACCUCAGACGUGGGUCGCAGUGAAGAGAUCCAGGCGACUGUUUACCAAAAACACAGGUCUCCGCCAACUCGAAAGAGGACGUAUGGGGGCUGACGCCUGCCCAGUGCCGGAAGGUUAAGGAAGUUGGUCAGGGGUUCGCCUUGAAGCUGACGACCGAAGCCCCGGUGAACGGCGGCCGUAACUAUAACGGUCCUAAGGUAGCGAAAUUCCUUGUCGGGUAAGUUCCGACCCGCACGAAAGGCGUAACGAUCUGGAUGGUGUCUCAGAGAGAGACUCGGCGAAAUAGGAAUGUCUGUGAAGAUACGGACUGCCUGCACCUGGACAGAAAGACCCUAUGAAGCUUUACUGUAGCCUGGAAUUGUGUUCGGGCUUCGCUUGCGCAGGAUAGGUGGGAAGCGAAGAAGUAUCCCUUGUGGGGGAUAUGGAGCUAACGGUGAGAUACCACUCUGGCGAAGCUAGAAUUCUAACCCAUGACCGUAAGCCGGUCAGGGAACAGUUUCAGGUGGGCAGUUUGACUGGGGCGGUCGCCUCCUAAAAAGUAACGGAGGCGCGCAAAGGUUCUCUCAGCACGCUUGGAAACCGUGCGGCGAGUGUAAAGGCAAAAGAGAGCUUGACUGCGAGAGAUACAACUCAAGCAGGGACGAAAGUCGGCCUUAGUGAUCCGACGGCACAGCAUGGAAUGGCCGUCGCUCAACGGAUAAAAGUUACUCUAGGGAUAACAGGCUGAUCUCCCCCAAGAGUCCACAUCGACGGGGAGGUUUGGCACCUCGAUGUCGGCUCAUCGCAACCUGGGGCGGAAGUACGUCCCAAGGGUUGGGCUGUUCGCCCAUUAAAGCGGUACGUGAGCUGGGUUCAGAACGUCGUGAGACAGUUCGGUCCAUAUCCGGUGCAGGCGCAAGAGCAUUGAGAGGAGCCUUCCUUAGUACGAGAGGACCGGGAAGGACGCACCGCUGGUGUACCAGUUAUCGUACCAACGGUAAACGCUGGGUAGCCAAGUGCGGAGCGGAUAACCGCUGAAAGCAUCUAAGUGGGAAGCCCACCUCAAGAUGAGUGCUCUCACUACAUAAGUAGGUAAGGUCACGGGCAGAA